UUACAGCCAUAUCACAUUGAAACACUGGUUCGUGUAUGAUUACUGAAGUUAAGCAAUAUCAAGCCUAGUCAGUAUUUAGAUGGGUGAACAUUUGGGAAUACCAGCUGCUGUAAG